rnacentral:rRNA from 1 species
GAUGAACGCUGGCGGCGUGCCUAAUACAUGCAAGUCGAGCGAACGGACGAGAAGCUUGCUUUUCUGAUGUUAGCGGCGGACGGGUGAGUAACACGUGGAUAACCUACCUAUAAGACUGGGAUAACUUCGGGAAACCGGAGCUAAUACCGGAUAAUAUUUUGAACCGCAUGGUUCAAAAGUGAAAGACGGUCUUGCUGUCACUUAUAGGUGGAUCCGCGCUGCAUUAGCUAGUUGGUAAGGUAACGGCUUACCAAGGCAACGAUGCAUAGCCGACCUGAGAGGGUGAUCGGCCACACUGGAACUGAGACACGGUCCAGACUCCUACGGGAGGCAGCAGUAGGGAAUCUUCCGCAAAGGGCGAAAGCCUGACGGAGCAACGCCGCGUGAGUGAUGAAGGUCUUCGGAUCGUAAAACUCUGUUAUUAGGGAAGAACAUAUGUGUAAGUAACUGUGCACAUCUUGACGGUACCUAAUCAGAAAGCCACGGCUAACUACGUG